UACGAGGGGGGCAAGCGUUGUUCGGAAUUAUUGGGCGUAAAGGGCGCGUAGGCGGUGCGGUAAGUCACCUGUGAAACCUCUAGGCUCAACCUAGAGCCUGCAGGCGAAACUGCCGUGCUUGAGGGUGGGAGAGGUGCGUGGAAUUCCCGGUGUAGCGGUGAAAUGCGUAGAUAUUGGGAGGAACACCAGUGGCGAAGGCGGCUCGCUGGACCGGAACUGACGCUGAGGCGCGAAAGCGUGGGGAGCAAACAGG
rnacentral:rRNA from 1 species